AACGAACGCUGGCGGCAUGCCUAACACAUGCAAGUCGAACGAUGCCUCCGGGCAUAGUGGCGCACGGGUGUGUAACGCGUGGGAAUCUGCCCUUGGGUUCGGAAUAACUCGCCGAAAGGCGAGCUAAUACCGGAUGAUGACGUAAGUCCAAAGAUUUAUCGCCCAAGGAUGAGCCCGCGUAGGAUUAGCUAGUUGGGGGGGUAAAGGACCACGAAGGCGACGAUCCUUAGCUGGUCUGAGAGUAUGAUCAGCCACACUGGGACUGAGACACGGCCCAGACUCCUACGGGAGGCAGCAGUGGGGAAUAUUGGACAAUGGGCGAAAGCCUGAGCCAGCAAUGCCGCGUGAGUGAUGAAGGCCUUAGGGUUGUAAAGCUCUUUUACCCGGGAUGAUAAUGACAGUACCGGAAGAAUAAGCUCCGGCUAACUCCGUG
rnacentral:rRNA from 1 species